GUGAUGAGGUGACCCGUUUACGACAGAUGACGUGCUUUCCCCUGGCUGA
rnacentral:snoRNA from 1 species